rnacentral:rRNA from 1 species
CUACGGGGGGCUGCAGUGGGGAAUAUUGCACAAUGGAGGAAACUCUGAUGCAGCAACGCCGCGUGGAUGAUGAAGCUUUUCGGAGUGUAAAAUCCUUUUCUAAGAGAAGAUAAUGACGGUAUCUUAGGAAUAAGCACCGGCUAACUCCGUGCCAGCAGCCGCGGUAAUACGGAGGGUGCAAGCAUUACUCGGAAUCACUGGGCGUAAAGAGAGUGUAGGCUGCCUGAUAAGUCUUUUGUGAAAUCUCAUAGCUUAACUAUGAAACUGCAUUAGAAACUGUCAGGCUUGAGUAUGGAAGAGGUAGGUGGAAUUAGUAGUGUAGGGGUGAAAUCCGUAGAUAUUACUAGGAAUACCAAUUGCGAAGGCAACCUGCUGGGACAUUACUGACGCUGAGACUCGAAAGUGUGGGGAGCAAACAGGAUUAGAUACCCUAGUAGUC